rnacentral:rRNA from 1 species
UACAGAGGUGGCAAGCGUUGUUCGGAAUUACUGGGCGUAAAGGGCGCGUAGGCGGUCCCGUCAGUCCCUUGUGAAAUCCCCCGGCUCAACUGGGGAACUGCAAGGGAUACAGCGGGGCUUGAGUUCGGGAGAGGGAAGCGGAAUUCCGGGUGUAGCGGUGAAAUGCGUAGAUAUCUGGAGGAACACCGGUGGCGAAGGCGGCAUCCUGGACCACGACUGACGCUGAGGAGCGAAAGCCAGGGGAGCAAACGGG